UCAGGCCUAACACAUGCAAGUCGUACGGGAGUUUUUAACUCUAGUGGCGGACGGGUGAGUAACACGUAAGAAUUUGCCUUUAGGAGGGGGACAACAACUGGAAACGGUUGCUAAUACCCCAUAUGCUUUCGAGUGAAAUGGAUUUCCGCCUAAAGAGAAGCUUGCGGCUGAUUAGCUUGUUGGUGAGGUUAUGGCUCACCAAGGCGACGAUCAGUAUCUGGUUUGAGAGGACGAUCAGACACACUGGAACUGAGACACGGUCCAGACUCCUACGGGAGGCAGCAGUGGGGAAUUUUCCGCAAGGGGCGAAAGCCUGACGGAGCAAUACCGCGUGA
rnacentral:rRNA from 1 species